rnacentral:rRNA from 1 species
GAACGAACGCUGGCGGCGUGGAUAAGACAUGCAAGUCGAACGGGAACUUCAGCUGUAGCAAUACAGUUGUAAGUUUUAGUGGCGAACGGGUGCGUAACACGUGGGCAAUCUGCCGAGAAGGUGGGGGAUAGCUCGCCGAAAGGCGAAUUAAUACCGCAUAUGAUCAGCUAAGACAUCUUAGCGACAUCAAAGCCGGGGCAACCUGGCGUCUUUUUGAGGAGCCCGCGGCCUAUCAGCUAGUUGGUGAGGUAACGGCUCACCAAGGCUAUGACGGGUAGCUGGUCUGAGAGGACGACCAGUCACA